rnacentral:rRNA from 1 species
GGGGAUUUGCCAAUGGGCGCAAGCCUGUGCAGCCUGCCGCGUGUGUGAAGAAGGCCUUCGGGUUGUAAAGCACUUUCAGUCAGGAGGAAAGGUUAGUAGUUAAUACCUGCUAGCUGUGACGUUACUGACAGAAGAAGCACCGGCUAACUCCGUGCCAGCAGCCGCGGUAAUACGGAGGGUGCGAGCGUUAAUCGGAAUUACUGGGCGUAAAGCGUACGCAGGCGGUUUGUUAAGCGAGAUGUGAAAGCCCCGGGCUUAACCUGGGAACUGCAUUUCGAACUGGCAAACUAGAGUGUGAUAGAGGGUGGUAGAAUUUCAGGUGUAGCGGUGAAAUGCGUAGAGAUCUGAAGGAAUACCGAUGGCGAAGGCAGCCACCUGGGUCAACACUGACGCUCAUGUAGAAAGCGUGGGGAGCAAACAGGAUUAGAUACCCUGGUAGUCCACGCCGUAAACGAUGUCUACUAGGAGCUGGGGUCUUCGACUUUUCCAAAGCUAACGCAUUAAGUAGACCGCCUGGGGAGUACGGCCGCAAGGUUAAAACUCAAAUGAAUUGACGGACGGGGGCCCGCACAAGCGGUGGAGCAUGUGGUUUAAUUCGAUGCAACGCGAAGAACCUUACCUACACUUGACAUACAGAGAACUUACCAGAGAUGGUUUGGUGCCUUCGGGAACUCUGAUACAGGUGCUGCAGGCUGUCGUCAGCUCGUGU